GUGAUGCGGUAGAGGAGCGUUCUGUAAGCCUGUGAAGGUGAGUUGAGAAGCUUGCUGGAGGUAUCAGAAGUGCGAAUGCUGACAUGAGUAACGACAAUGCGAGUGAAAAACUCGCACGCCGAAAGACCAAGGUUUCCUGCGCAACGUUAAUCGACGCAGGGUUAGUCGGUCCCUAAGGCGAGGCUGAAAAGCGUAGUCGAUGGAAAACAGGUUAAUAUUCCUGUACUUCUGGUUAUUGCGAUGGAGGGACGGAGAAGGCUAGGCCAGCUUGGCGUUGGUUGUCCAAGUUUAAGGUGGUAGGCUGAGAUCUUAGGUAAAUCCGGGAUCUUAAGGCCGAGAGCUGAUGACGAGUUGCCUUUAGGCGACGAAGUGGUUGAUGCCAUGCUUCCAAGAAAAGCUUCUAAGCUUCAGAUAACCAGGAACCGUACCCCAAACCGACACAGGUGGUUGGGUAGAGAAUACCAAGGCGCUUGAGAGAACUCGGGUGAAGGAACUAGGCAAAAUGGCACCGUAACUUCGGGAGAAGGUGCGCCGAUGAGGGUGAAGCACUUGCUGCGUAAGCCCACGUCGGUCGAAGAUACCAGGCCGCUGCGACUGUUUAUUAAAAACACAGCACUCUGCAAACACGAAAGUGGACGUAUAGGGUGUGACGCCUGCCCGGUGCCGGAAGGUUAAUUGAUGGGGUUAGCUAACGCGAAGCUCUUGAUCGAAGCCCCGGUAAACGGCGGCCGUAACUAUAACGGUCCUAAGGUAGCGAAAUUCCUUGUCGGGUAAGUUCCGACCUGCACGAAUGGCGUAACGAUGGCGGCGCUGUCUCCACCCGAGACUCAGUGAAAUUGAAAUCGCUGUGAAGAUGCAGUGUAUCCGCGGCUAGACGGAAAGACCCCGUGAACCUUUACUAUAGCUUUGCACUGGACUUUGAAUUUGCUUGUGUAGGAUAGGUGGGAGGCUUUGAAGUGGGGACGCCAGUUCUCAUGGAGCCAUCCUUGAAAUACCACCCUGGCAACUUUGAGGUUCUAACUCAGGUCCGUUAUCCGGAUCGAGGACAGUGUAUGGUGGGUAGUUUGACUGGGGCGGUCUCCUCCUAAAGAGUAACGGAGGAGUACGAAGGUGCGCUCAGACCGGUCGGAAAUCGGUCGCAGAGUAUAAAGGCAAAAGCGCGCUUGACUGCGAGACAGACACGUCGAGCAGGUACGAAAGUAGGUCUUAGUGAUCCGGUGGUUCUGUAUGGAAGGGCCAUCGCUCAACGGAUAAAAGGUACUCCGGGGAUAACAGGCUGAUACCGCCCAAGAGUUCAUAUCGACGGCGGUGUUUGGCACCUCGAUGUCGGCUCAUCACAUCCUGGGGCUGAAGCCGGUCCCAAGGGUAUGGCUGUUCGCCAUUUAAAGUGGUACGCGAGCUGGGUUUAGAACGUCGUGAGACAGUUCGGUCCCUAUCUGCCGUGGACGUUUGAGAUUUGAGAGGGGCUGCUCCUAGUACGAGAGGACCGGAGUGGACGAACCUCUGGUGUUCCGGUUGUCACGCCAGUGGCAUUGCCGGGUAGCUAUGUUCGGAAGAGAUAACCGCUGAAAGCAUCUAAGCGGGAAACUUGCCUCAAGAUGAGAUCUCACUGGAGCCUUGAGCUCCCUGAAGGGCCGUCGAAGACUACGACGUUGAUAGGUUGGGUGUGUAAGCGCUGUGAGGCGUUGAGCUAACCAAUACUAAUUGCCCGUGAGGCUUGACCAU
rnacentral:rRNA from 1 species